rnacentral:lncRNA from 1 species
AGUUGGCCCAUCCCGUUUGGGCCUGGAUGUCCUCAAUGUCCUUGACUCCUGGAACCUCCUCCUGGCCCCUAAACGGCCCUGAGGGUCUCCAGCCAGGGAGUGGGGGCGGAGUGAGGGCGCUAAGCUGAUGGGCUAAGGAGACCACCCUAUUUUACUAUAGACGGUGCGGGUCCUGCUUCUGCCCCUGAGCCGGGGUUAGGGAAGGGGUUGCGCGUACUCGGAGGGUCCAUUUCAGGAAAAGGGCGGCGUUUCUGAGUUCCCGAAAUGUGGGAGGGCUUGAGAGCCACAACACCAGGCUCUGAGAAGGGACUGGAAGUACGGCCUGACUUUCCCGGAGAAAGGGGUUAAGUGUGAGAGAAAGAUGGGAGCGAAGGGGAGCUGCGCUCGCGGUGGAAGGAGCGAGGUAUCCUGGGAAGGAAAGCGAGUCCCGCGUUCAGACAGAGCAGGAAUCUCAUCCUGAGCCGGCAGAACCUCCGUUUUCUCACAGACAUCACAAGAUUGUUGUUAGGAUUUGAAACGAUCGUUUAUCCAAUGAAUAUUAGAGGUCGACUACGUGCCAGGCUCUGCUUAGCACUAGGGAUUCAGUAAUGGAACAAAUAAGUCAACAAAUGAUAGACAAGAUCAGUUGAACUGGUAUCAUUACCAUUUGCUCUGAAGCAAAUGAAAUAGAAUGAUGGGGGCACUCAUUUAGUUUGGGUGAUCAGACAAGACCUCUAUGACAAGUGACAAGAACAGACGGUAUUCUAGGCAAAGGGGACAGCUAAUAUAAAAGUCCUGAGGAGGGAACAGUCUGGUGAGCUCGGAAACAGAAAGGUCAGUGUGGCUGCAGCAGAGUGGGCCACAGUAAGAAUGAUAGAUGAAGUCAGAGGAUGCAACACACGUUAGGGCCUAAUAACCCAUAGCAAAGGGUUUAAGUCUACUCUGUGAUGGGGGCAUUUGAAGGGUUUUAAAGAGGGAAGUGACAAGAUGCUAUUUGUGUUUUUUAAAAAGAUCACUCUGGCUGCUGUAUGGAGAAUAAACUCUGGAAGGCAAGAGUAGAUAGGGGGACAGGCCUUGGAUUAGGAUGGUAGGAGUGAAUGGUAGGUGAUGAAGCUUCUGGGACAGUCUCAAAAAACUCAAUAUGAAAGUGACUUCCUCCCUCUUCCUCCCUUCCCCAAAGGACAAAAUUUACCAUAGAGAAAGAACAAAUGCAUUUAUGUGGCUCCAAGGGACUGGGCUCGGCUCAACAAGUUCACAUACAUUAUUUUAUUUGAACCCCACCAUUCCAAUUCUAGGAGGUAAAGGCCUCACUUCCAUUGCAGCUAUUGGUGGAGGUGUGGGUCACUUCUCAAAUUCUCUCCAUUCUACAGCUCAGCUUUACCCACUUAUUGCAGAUCCCUACAGAAACACGAGUUAUUUUUCUCCUUACCAUAAACAAAAACAGCAUUGGCAAUAAGGGCUGAAGGUAAGAUUCUACUGGUAGCGUCUCUGAAAUAGCUGAUAGAGAAGUGGGGGAAGCUGGCUGGUUUAUUUGGGGACUUCAGGGUCAUGAAAAAACCCAGUGUUUGACAGGGACCCAGGCUUUUUGGUCUCGGAUUCACACAUUCAGAUGUGUGAUGACUUCCUUUUCUGGCUCCAUACGGCAAGCAUGCACCUCAUCUACCAUCUGUCUCCUCUCUGCCUUUCUAUCUCUCUCUGUCUCUCCAUAUCUCUAACUCCGUCUCCCUACCACCCUCCCUCUCCUCUGCCAACACACUUUGAUUACCUGGGCACAAGCUGACCUGGAGGAGUGCCUGGCUCUUUAGAAAAACCAUCUCCUCAUAGCCUUUUACCCUAUUAUGUUCCUGAAUCAUUCUACAUUCUAUUCCGAACCAACUUUCUGAAGAAGGUGAUGUAAAAAAGUCCAGACACAGGCCCCUUCUUCCAGUUUUGUUUUCUAAGGGAGACCUGAUUCAUCCAGACUCAUUGCUGAAUAAGAGACUCCCUUCUUCCUCGUGCCCUCUCUACCUCAGUUUGGUGGUAUAACUGGAUGGGUACUACAAGGGGUGACUGCUCCAAGGGUCAAGCUAGAGAGGGGCUCAGAACUUGCAUUGUGUGGCCUCCAUCCCAAGAUGGGAAUACCUCUUUGCUCCAGCAGCCCAAAGUCAGGAGGUUUGGGCUGCUGUUUUCUUCUGUGUUUAUCAAAGUUGCUUCGUAUAGGCUUCUGGGCUCCCUUGGUUUCUUAAUAGCUAUUGGCUGACUGGAGACUAUUUAGUUGCUUGUUUACCUGGGCUUAGAGGGUGACGUUUCUGUGGUCAGGUUGUGCAAAUCUGGAGAGAGGAUAUGUAAACAGGACAAGGCUGCUUUCCCAAAGGCCAGGGCCCAGAAAUAGUUCCUUGUGCUUCUGACCUAUUUCCUCCUCCCUGGACAGAAAGCCACUGAGCAAAUGUGCAAUAGUAAAACAUAACUACAAGUAGCUAUAUCCUGAUGGAGAUUGAUUUGCUGAUGACAACAAACUGCAGCCUUCCACCUGGAAAUAAGGCAGGACUGACCUUUCCCCGCACUUUGCUUCCUAGGCAUUAUAGUGGCCUAUGAGCAGAAUUUGCCAUGCCUUCCAUGGAGCAUUCUUUUUCCAAGUCAGGUCAAUCCAGCCUGCAGCUGUAAGUCAAUGAAGUUCCUCAGAUAAAGUGCAUGCAAAAAUGUUAUUUUUCAAGCACCAGUAAAGACACUUGUUUUAAUCUUAUACCCCUUGCACGUACUAUAGAGGAAGAGGGUGACCCUUAGUGUUGAAUAGAUCUGGGUGGGAUUUCCAUAUCUAUGGACAAGCUGUGGCUCUGGGCCAGUUUCUACAUCUGUACAAUGGAGUCAAAUCUUUUCCUUGCAGGGCUGGUGUGAUGGGAACAUG